AAUUCCAUGUCUUUUGUAUUAAAGAAUUAAAUGGAUGAAAUAUGAAGUUUUAUUAAAAGAAAAAGGGGUGAAAAGAACAAAGUUUUGUCCAUCUUUGUUCAUCAUAGCUGAAAGUUAAAGAAGAGAAAGGAGAGGAGAAAGCUCUUGAGUAUUUGGUCAUUAGGAGGAGGAAAAUUGAAGGCGGUUCGUGUGUGGAUCUCGUCAACAUAUCGUCGCAAACAGGAAAUCCCCAACCAUAGUGGGCUUGGAGCUGUGAGGGAAUUCGGAGUGGCCACCAGUUCUGAAAGUUUGAUUUUCCUCUGGUGAACUGGACAUCCUUUUAUUUACGUUUGAAGUUUUGGGUUUUUUUCAAUGUAAUAAGGCCGCUUAAUUAUUUUUGAUGGUUUUAAUAUGUAUUACUAAGAUAGGUAUUACUUA